rnacentral:rRNA from 1 species
GACGUAGGGUGCGAGCGUUGUCCGGAUUUAUUGGGCGUAAAGAGCUCGUAGGCGGCUUGUCGCGUCGACCGUGAAAACUUGGGGCUCAACCCCAAGCCUGCGGUCGAUACGGGCAGGCUAGAGUUCGGUAGGGGAGACUGGAAUUCCUGGUGUAGCGGUGAAAUGCGCAGAUAUCAGGAGGAACACCGGUGGCGAAGGCGGCAUCCUGGACCGACACUGACGCUGAGGAGCGAAAGCCAGGGGAGCAAACGGG